AUAUAAAUGACCCAAAUGGUUCUAAUAUACCACGUGUGAGUCAGACUACUAAUACUUUUGUUGUUAAUAUUUUGAGAGACAAGCCCAGUGUAAUAUAUUUGUGAAUGACGUGUUUUGGUAAUGAAAGAACUAAUUAUAUUUAUGUAUUUGUGAAAGACGGGCUUUAGAUUAACACAUACACAGGCAACGAAUUUAUAGCAAUAACAUUUUUAUUAACCAAACAAAGGGUUGGUUAUAUUUGGUUGGAAGUUAUAAUAUUAUAUUGAAAUAUCGCGCUAUUUAUUUAUUCUGGAAUACCCAUAGCUGGUCAACAGUGCAAUGUAUAAACAUGCAUGCGUGAUAAUAAUAGAUGUGUUUUAAAAUUCUUUUCCUCAAAGCAAUGAAAGGAUAGUAUCUUUUGGUUAUUUCACUCUGGAUUGUUUUUUGUUAUUUCGGGCACUUUGUAAAGAAAGGAUUUAACAGUAGUUUAUUCGGUUGCAGAUAAAAUAUGGUUUUCAAGAUGAAGACAACGAUGUUGUUAUUAAUGUUACUGGUCACGGUCUUUGCAAAGCCUCCGAAUUUCAUUACAGGCAAGAAGCAAAACCAAUUUCCAAUGUUUUCCAAAGGGGUGGGUUUCCUAAUUAAAAUCCUAUGUGCUUAUCACAAAGCAAUAGGAACAAAGCCUAUGCCAAGUUAUUGUUUUUAUGGCAAAGCCAAAUUAAAUCGACCUGGACCUGGACAAUUCAGAUAAAAUAACUCGCUUUUAACUGGAUAACCAAAUAAAAAAAUCUAAUAGCAACCAAUCUGACAAUUAGUCGUUCUAAGGCACUUUAAGUUUAUGAUUGGGUGAAUGAAAAAGACAAGUGGUACAAUAGAACAAUUGCCGGGUUGUUUUUUUCAUGAGUGGACUAAAAAUUUGAAUAUGUAAUUUUGAAUCAAUCGAUUUCCGUCCAGAUGUCAGAACAUUGUGGUCUGAAGAAAUCUCUAGCGUGACCAAUGAUAUCUACCCUUUAACGUUUAAUUAUACUGGUGAGGUUUAAGCCCAAUUUCCGGUUGGGCAUGAUUCGGACAGUGUUCAUCGGAACUUAACGACUCCGAGCCAAUUAGUUGUCCAGACGAAAGAUAUUGAAUACAGAAUCUCAAGCAAACGGUACACAAUGGGAUAGAUAUUUUCCCGAAGUUUAGAUUUACGAUGAUUACCGAGAAUUGAGAUUAAAAACGAAGCUAGUUUAACCGAACUAGUUGAUGGUGAGACAAAUGGUAGUUUGUAAAAGAUAAAAAAAUGAUUGACUCACUGUAAAUAGAAAUGUGAAAGACUAUGUCGUAUAUUAAAACGUUAGAAGAGUAGUAAUGUUGUGUAAUUAGUUGUAAAUAAUGUGUAUGUAUAUAUUA